rnacentral:lncRNA from 1 species
AUUAUCUUUGUAGUUAGCUGCAAAUAUAUUCUGGUUCCCAACCCCUGCACCUGUGAACAACAGAGCAUCACACAGCUGUAUUAAUUGUGUGGCAUGAAAUUCAGAGCUGGCCUUCACAUCUGCAGCUUUCCAUUUACCAGCGUGUAUACACAAGUCAAGAACACUUACCUUCACUGAAUGAGUCUUUAAAAUAAAUAUUAUGGGCUCACUGUUUAUCACAAUUUACAUGAGCCAAAUGUGGCCAAAUUAUAGCUCAGUUGUGUCUGCUGUCAGCAGCUGCAGCCCAGGGAAAGAAAGGAUGGUAGGGAGGCAGGGGGAGCAGCUAAAGAUCCUUCCGCACACAUUAUUUUUGAGCCAGCAGUACGAGAGCUUUUUUUCUUCUUUUUUUUUUCUUUUUGAAUUUAGUUUCUCCAUGCUAUCUAUCAACGUCAGCUGCACCACAAUGCAAAGAGGAAAUACUAACAAAGAAAUAUGAUUGUAGUCUGAACAAGGAUGAAAGAGAAAAA